rnacentral:rRNA from 1 species
CAAGGAAUUUUCGGCAAUGGGCGCAAGCCUGACCGAGCAACGCCGCGUGCGGGAUGACGGCCUUCGGUUGUAAACCGCUUGGUGGGGGACGAUCAUGACGGUACCCCACGAACAAGCCCCGGCUAACUCUGUGCCAGCAGCCGCGGUAAGACAGAGGGGGCAAGCGUUGUCCGGACUGACUGGGCGUAAAGCGUCCGCAGGCGGCGCGGCAAGUGUGGUGUGAAAGCGCCCGGCUUAACCGGGCGAGGCCACCGCAGACUGCCGUGCUCGAGGGGUGCAGAGGCGGGUGGAAUUGCCGGUGUAGUGGUGAAAUGCGUAGAGAUCGGCAGGAACACCAAGGGGGAAGCCAGCCCGCUGGGCACACCCUGACGCUCAGGGACGACAGCGUGGGGAGCGAACCGGAUUAGAUACCCGGGGUAGUCCACGCCGUAAACGAUGGACGCUCGGCGUUUGGGUGCGCAUUCGCGUACCUGGGCGCCUCAGCUAACGCAGUAAGCGUCCCGCCG